GCCAGGCGUGGUGGUGCACGCCUGUAAUCCCAGCUACUCGGGAGGCUGAGGCAGGAGAAUCACUUGAACCCAGGAGGUGGAGGUUGCAGUGAGCCGAGAUCACGCCACUGCACUCCAGCCUGGGCAACAGAGCGAGACUCCGUCUCAA
rnacentral:SRP_RNA from 1 species